GAUGAAGAACGUAGCGAAAUGCGAUACGUAAUGUGAAUUGCAGAAUUCAGUGAAUCAUCGAAUCUUUGAACGCAUAUUGCGCUCUCUGGUAUUCCGGAGAGCAUGCUUGUUUGAGUAUCAGUAAACACCUCAACUCCCUUUUCUUUUUUGAAAUUGGAGCUGGACUUGAGUGAUCCCAACGCUUUCUUCCAAGAAAGUGGCGGGUUGCUUGAAAUGCAGGUGCAGCUGAACUUUUCUCUGAGCUAGAAGCAUAUCUAUUUAGUCUGCCUAAAAAACAGAUUAUUACCUUUGCUGCAGCUAACAUAAAGGAGACUAGUUCUUGUGCUGACUGAUGCAGGAUUCACAGAGACAGCUUCGGCUGACUUUGUAAACUCGAUCUCAAAUCAAGUAAGACUACCCGCUGAACUUAAGCAUACAAUAAGCGGAGGA
rnacentral:misc_RNA from 1 species